rnacentral:rRNA from 1 species
UACGGAGGGGGCUAGCGUUGUCCGGAAUUACUGGGCGUAAAGCGCACGUAGGCGGCUUUGUAAGUUAGAGGUGAAAGCCCGGAGCUCAACUCCGGAAUUGCCUUUAAGACUGCAUCGCUAGAAUUGUGGAGAGGUAAGUGGAAUUCCGAGUGUAGAGGUGAAAUUCGUAGAUAUUCGGAAGAACACCAGUGGCGAAGGCGACUUACUGGACACAUAUUGACGCUGAGGUGCGAAAGCGUGGGGAGCAAACAGG